rnacentral:misc_RNA from 1 species
GAUGAAGAACGUAGCGAAAUGCGAUAAAUAAUGUGAAUUGCAGAAUUCAGUGAAUCAUCGAGUCUUUGAACGCACAUUGCGCCCCCUGGUAUUCCGGGGGGCAUGCCUGUCCGAGCGUCAUUGCUGCCCUCAAGCACGGCUUGUGUGUUGGGCCCCCGUCCCCCCCUCCCGGGGGACGGGCCCGAAAGGCAGCGGCGGCACCGCGUCCGGUCCUCGAGCGUAUGGGGCCUUGUCACCCGCUCUGUAGGCCCGGCCGGCGCCUGCCGACCACCAUCAAUCUUUUUUCAGGUUGACCUCGGAUCAGGUAGGGAUACCCGCUGAACUUAAGCAUAUCAAUAAGCGGAGGA